AGCAACGAACCAAAGGAGGAGAAGGAAGGGAGGAAGAAGAAGGAGAAAGAAAGAAAAAGAUUUAGCCGUCCGAUUCCAAUUCCGACUUGGGUGUACGUUUGAGGAGAUUUGGGUGAAGUUAUAAAAUCCAGAAAGUAUCGGUAGGAGGUACGCAUGGCACCUCCGGGACAGGGGACGUCUCGGGAGAUAGAAAGACGGGCUGAAUGAGUGAACUGCAUCUGAUGUAUUAUAUGUAAAUUCUAACUAGAAAAACCUCCCGUUUUGGGAGUAUGUUUUUGUAAAUAUUUAUAAACUUGUUUUUUUGGGAAUAAUAAAAUGCUUAUAUAAUUAAUUUUAGCCUUAACACUGUGUUGUGGGGCCCGAAGUAGGAGGUGACGACCUCAUGAUGCAGUGUGGCGGUAGCAUUUCCAGUAUGAGC